rnacentral:rRNA from 1 species
GACGAACGCUGGCGGCGUGCCUAAUACAUGCAAGUAGAACGCACAGUUUAUACCGUAGCUUGCUACACCAUAAACUGUGAGUUGCGAACGGGUGAGUAACGCGUAGGUAACCUGCCUGGUAGCGGGGGAUAACUAUUGGAAACGAUAGCUAAUACCGCAUAAUAUUGAUUAUUGCAUGAUAAUUGAUUGAAAGAUGCUAUUGCAUCACUACCAGAUGGACCUGCGUUGUAUUAGCUAGUAGGUGAGGUAACGGCUCACCUAGGCGACGAUUCAUAGCCGACCUGAGAGGGUGAUCGGCCACACUGGGACUGAGACACGGCCCAGACUCCUACGGGAGGCAGCAGUAGGGAAUCUUCGGCAAUGGACGAAAGUCUGACCGAGCAACGCCGCGUGAGUGAAGAAGGUUUUCGGAUCGUAAAGCUCUGUUGUAAGAGAAGAACGGGUGUGAGAGUGGAAAGUUCACACUGUGACGGUAUCUUACCAGAAAGGGACGGCUAACUACGUG